rnacentral:rRNA from 1 species
ACUGGCGGCGUGCCUAACACAUGCAAGUCAACUUGACUGAAGGAGCAAUCUGACAGUAGAGUGGCGCAAGGGUGCGUAACGCGUAAGUAACUCGCCCCAAGGUAAGGAAUAACGUCGAGAAAUCGGCGCUAAUACCUCAUAAUGCAGCGGAUCCGCAUGGAUAUGUUGUUAAAGGUUUACCGCCUUGGGAUAGGCUUGCGUCUGAUUAGCUAGUUGGUGUGGUAACGGCACACCAAGGCUACGAUCAGUAACUGGUCUGAGAGGAUGAUCAGUCACACUGGAACUGAGACACGGUCCAGACUCCUACGGGAGGCAGCAGUGAGGAAUAUUGGGCAAUGCUCGAAAGAGUGACCCAGCAACGCCGCGUGGAGGAUGAAGGUAUUCUAUAUCGUAAACUCCUGUGAGAGCAGACGAAAGACAGAUUAUUAAUCUGGAUGACUGUAUGCUCAGAGGAAGCCCCGGCUAACUACGUG